rnacentral:lncRNA from 1 species
CUGAUUUCUAAACAUUUUUUUCCCUUUCUGGACAGGUUCUCCCCCAUGAUGUAAGUGCCACAAGCAGGCAGAAUAUAGAUUCCAACCCUUGCUUGGUAAGCAGGAAAUUGUUAUUCUUAAGUUCAGGAUUUUCUUUUUUUAAAACCCUCUCAAAAUUAAGAAAUCCUGUUUUGUUAGCUAGAAGAGCUCUAAUUACUGUGAAUAUGCAAACAUGGGAGUAAAUUGUAAAUAUAUAAUUUAGUUAAGAUUUACACAAAGAGCUUGAGAAAUAGUCAUCUCCUUUCUCAUCUACUCAUUUGAAAUUGAAUUAAUCUCAUAAAUAUUAUCACACUGGUUUCCCAUUGACCAUUUUUACCUGAAUUUAGAAAACAUAUAAGGAAAUAAUUUUAUGGCAAAAAAUUUAAAGAAGAAAUAAAUAAUCAACCAUUUUUAAGACUAGAAAUGGUAUUUAGUUUUGAACCUAAGUAUUUAUGCUUUCUAAAGAGGGGAGAUAGGGGGACUAUUGAUACUGAAAAGACAUUUUCUGCAAGUUUCAUAAUUAAGUGGAAAGACUGUUUAAAAAUUGAUAAAGUGAAAGAAUGUGAAAUCCCUUAGUUUGAAUUUAUAUGCAAGUGAUAAAAUAUUAUUGGAGAGUAGUUUAUUUUCCACAUUUAAAAUUUAAUUUGAGUGUCUUUUCUUCCCAAGCGUUGGUAUGAGGUUUCAAGAUUCAUCCAAUGUAUUUGCAAUUUAAGCAUUAUAUUCUCCAAACUCCUGACUUCUUCUGUGUCCAUAACUUCAGAAUUUUUAGAAAGUUAUCUGGCCACAGAGGAAACAUGAUAUACAAAUGGCCACUUAUACGUUGGAUCAGAUGGAAAUAUUCUUUCAGUGCUGAUUUGUGUAAAAAUUUUCAUACAUGAAAACUUGUAAAAGAACUUCCAUUUAUUGGGAUGAUCCUUUCCACAUUGUGGAAAUCUUUACUUAGAGGAUAUAGUUCAGUCAAGAGAAGAGGAGGCAGUCUGUAGUGAUCCGUGGGAGCUGUAGUUUUUGUCUGCUCAUCAUUGGGUCUUCCUUUGACUCCCUCAUUCUUAGUCAUCCAGAUGACGAUGUCAAUCAGUGUGACCUGUCCCCAAUUCAUGGGUGAGUGUGCUAUCAAACAUAGCUACUGGAGUGCCAAGUAUCGAUUCAGGAAUAUGCAUAGAAAUCAAGAAAGAUAAAUUAUCUUUCCUGAGAAAUUGAUAGAGGACUUCUAUUGGAUGGGUGACAUCUAAUUCCACUGUGAUUGCUUAACAGGGCCAGUGUACAUCUGGAGAUGAUUGAGGUCAUCUUGUGUGACACAAAUACAUCGACUGAGCCUACCUGUAAUGUAACAAGUGGAGAUACACACAGCUGAAGGAUGGAGAAGUGAAAUAAAACUCUGAGCUCACUAUUUGCCCCUGAAUCCAUCCCUGCUUAAAGAUACAGCCUUCUCUGGACUUGCCAAUUACAUAGUCACUACAUUUUCCUUUUUCUUAAACCAUUUUGAGUUGGAUUUCUAAAAAAUCUAACCAAAAUGUGUCUUUAUGAAUACAGUCCUUAUUGCAGAUCUUCUAUAAUUCUGCUAAAUUUUUCUCUUGCUCACUUUUUCCUUCUUUAGUCUGACCAAUAAAGAGUUUAAAAGUUUUAUGCUAAUAUAACAGAUUCACCAGAACACAAAGAGUGAUUUCAUGAUGCAAUUCAAACAUAGAUUCCCCACUGAGAAAACACUGAGGUGUUUGUAGUUACCCAUGGCUGUGUGUAAUAACUUUGGGCUUAAUGCUUUCAUUUGAAGUUACUGUUGUGGAGUCUAGAGCACCCUGGGAGUUAACCUGCAGGACAAUGUAAAGAGGAGCAUAUAUUCUUUCGAGGCACUUGUAGCUGUCAUUUUAUUUUUUGAGAGUUAUGAAUGGAGGUAUUGUUGCAAACAGCUGUACCGUGAAGGCAUUUAAGCCAGUUAUUACUGCCUGUGGUAUCUGCACUCAAAAUGUUGCAAACACUGAAAUUAUGAUUUAGAGGUGAAAAAUGUGAGUUUUAUAAGAUAUAGCUAUAUGCUUGGCUCUGUCUUUUUAUAUUAUUGGACAGAUUCUUUUAAAAUGAUGAUUCUAACUCUAGGUGCCUGCCAUUCUAAUGAAUUCAGGAGUGUUGGCCAGAAUAUAUCAAAUAACACGCAAUAAUAUAUUAAUUUUGAAAGCAAUAUGGUAACAUUAUUUUUAAUGUAUUUAAUUAUUUCCCAAUGGCAUUAUGCUAAAUCUAUACUAUGUGGAAUGCAAUUUGAGGAAUCAGAACAUAGCAAACAAAUUUUUAAAUGUUGCAUAUCUUUGAUGACAAUGAAUUUGGUUGAAUUGAACUAAAGUGACAGUCUUUAAGGUUAGAAAAUAAAAUUUUGUGUUUUCUGGAAGAACUCAAUCAUGUUAUCCAAUAAUUCGUUUCUUUGUAGUAGAAUGACCAUCUUUAAAACAUUAAGAUGUAUUGUAACCCUCAGUUCAGAGAAUAAUCUCUGCUUUUCUUACCCAAAUCAUGAUGUAAACCUUCACUAGAUCAAACUCUGCUUUCAUUAAGACAGAGGCAGAAAUUCAGUAAUUGGGUUGCCCUUCAUGAUUUCUGACUCAUGAUAGCAGAUCAUGCAUCAUUUCACAUCCGGUUCAUAUGCCAACUAAAAACUAUUCCAAAAUUUUUUGCCAGAGUCACCAAUAGAAAAUUUCUCAAUUAGUCUACAAGUUAAUGGAAGAUAUGAUGUCUGUUUAACUUGUGAGAACAGCAUAUUCUGCAUAUUAUUAUGUCAUUUAAUAAUCUAAUUCUUUAACUUAAAUGAGUUCUAUAGAUCAUAGAUUUGUUUUUUUAAAGAAGUCACUGAUAGUUCAUCUAGUAAAAUAUUCUCAAUUCAUAGGUGUGCCAGUUAGAAUGCUUUGAGUUGCAUGUAAUGGAAAACUGAUUCAAACUUCCCUAAGUAAAGAUGGGAAUUUGGAAUUCACAACACUGAAUGUUCCAAGUCAAGAGACUUUCUCCAGAGUUGAGAGUCUAUGACUGGGUCUGGAUUUCUUUUUAGUUCUUACUCCUGCUUCUCAGUGUGGAUGAGGUUCUUAGGUAGAACUCCCUAAAAGGGGGAGUGGCAGCUCAUAACCGCAUGCUUCCUGGCACUUCUACUAGGAAAGACUCUGCCUCCCUGAUAUUUUAAACCAAAUCUCAGAAGUGAGUUUUCCUGGCCCUGAUUGAUUGGCCUGAUUGAGUCACUAAUUCUUUUUAAUUAAUCUCUGUGAUUAGUGAUCAGACUUGCUGACUGGAUCAAGGCAGCGGGCUUCCACUCCUGGAGCUGGAAGCUGAAUCAACCCCACACCAACUGCACUGCAGGGGAAUUCAGGUUACUUUUUCUGGUAAUGGAUGCUAGGGAAGCAACCAAUGAACUGUAAGAUGAGGGAGUCUGAAAGAAUCUAAGGGAUGUGGCUGGUCACACAGUAAGCAGAAAAGCCUCCUCUAAAACCUAAUUUAAAAAUCAUUGUAUCUGUCUAAAAGGUCUAUGAACUACUGUACAAAUUCACGCAGUGGGCACUGUGACAUAGCGUUGUGGAAAUGCAGGCACUAUCUAGCACAGUAUGUAUCAAUGUGUGGUCUGAAAUUCACUUUAUAAAAGACACCUGGGAUGUCUGGGAAAAAAAAAAAAGAAAUUUCAGAUUCCUGAUCCCUGUUCUGGAUUUCCUGAAUCAGAGUCUGUGUGGGCAGAGAGGGCUCUGGAAUUUUAAAUAUGCUUUCUAGGCAAAUGUCCUGCCUGUUAAGAUGUGAGCUCCCUUGUGCUCACAUGUAACUCAUCAUGUAACUCAUAAAUUGUUAUGGUUAACAAAUAUUCUAAAACUUCUUACCACAUCUGCCUCAGAUAGUUGGAAAUAUUUUCUAAAAAAAAAAUGUUUUUAUUGACUUUCUUACCAAGACUGUAACUACUUCUAAAUUAAUCUGUUGGACAACUCUGUUAGGAGAAUCAUGAGGUCUUGCAGAAGCCAUCAGGAGAGCAGGGUAAUCUGCAGAACACUGAGAGGCAAAAAUGAAAAACAUUUUUGUUUUAUACUAUCAGGGAGUAUCAGCAAGUGUGAAGAUGCUUGAGUUGAGCCAAGCAGGAAAAAUAUAUUUACUAUGAUAAAUGGUAUCAAAUAAAGCAUGCGAGUACCCACUUAUAGGUAUUAUUUACCUAUGAGAACUCUUCUCAAUUGUCUUCAGGCUAUGAUUGAUACAUUAAGAGUUUGCUCCAUCUGUAACACUUGGAUAGUAAAUGUAGGUAUUUCAACAGCUAGUGAAAUUCAUAUGAAUGUGACUGAGACUUAUAAUAAGAAAUACAACAUUCACUGUGUUGCUUUGUUAGAUCUUUGUUUUGGUUGGGUGACACAAAUCCCAAGACAAAAAUUCUACCUGCUUCCUAGAAAUGACCUAGGGUGAACCUAUUGCCUCCCCUGUAACUCCCCCUGGAAGACCAAGAGUGUUUUUAUUAUCCUAGUGACAGCAUUUCUUGGAGAUUGGCUGGGGAGUGAUUGUAUUGUUUUUAGAUAGUAAACAGUUUUGUGGAAGAAUAGCGAAAUUAAAAUUAUUACUAGAGUAAAUGUGACGUUUUUUCAAUUGCAUUUCUUGCAAUGCUACAGGAUUUGUGAGAUGUAAUAUUGAACCAUUGUCUGCUCAGGAAGUUGAAUUAAUUUUUUAAGUGCUGCCUGAGGAGAAAACAAUGUAAACAGAGUAGGAAGAUAAAAUUCUAUGUACAAUCAUGAUUUGAACUAAAAUAGCAGUGAACCAUAGUCGAAGACAAUAACAGACAAUUACUGAGUGUUUGUGUUCACUGAAUAUCCAGUAUUACUGAGUACACUAAGCUAUGUUUUGAGCAAUUUACAUGUAGUAAUUAUUAUAUUCUGAGAAUAAUCCUAGAAGAAAAGAUGUGCGCACCCUUGUGCUCACAUGUAACUCAUAAAUUGUUUGCCAUUGUUCCAUUUUACAGAUGAGGAAACUGAGACACUUAGAGGGUGAUAAAAUUUGCCUAGGUUCAUACAUCUUGUAGAUAAAAGUGUUAGAAUUUAAACUCAGUCUUGAUUUAGAUCCAUACUCUUAACCAUGAAAGUAUAGUUGCUUGUGUAUGAUUUUAAGGUGUCAUAACAAAUCAAGAAUUAUGUUACUACUUCCCAAUAUACUCUUAUAAUGAGUUCUGUAGAGCAAAGGAGGGGGCAUAAAUCCCAAUCUGUGGUUUUGCUUUCCAUAGUUUCAAUUAUAAACAAUCAGCUAUGGUCUGAAAACAUUAAAAGGAGCCUUCUAGAAAUAAACAUUUGAUAAGUGUUAAGUUGCUCACAUUCUGUCCAGUGUAUCCAUGCUGUAUGUACUACUCACCUGUUAGUUACUUAAUAGUCAUCUGGCCAUCAGUUUGAUUGUUGCAGUAGUAGCAUAUUAUUGUUUUUCUGUUUUAUUAUCAUUUAUUAUUGCUAAUCUCUUACUUUGCCCAAUUUAUAAAUUUGACUUUAUCAUAGUUGUAUAUGUACAGUAUAGGAAAAAACAAUAUAUAAAGGAUUGAGUAUUAAUGUGCUUUCAGGUGUCAACUGGGAUCUUGGAGCAUAUUUCCUAAGAAGUAUGGGGGACUAUUGUAGUAUGUAGUAAAUGGUAGUAUGAAGAUUAUAUGACCAUAAUUUCAAGCCAUGUGCAAUUAAUGAUAAGUAUUGGAAUUGGUUUCAAAAGACUUCUAGUAAAGACUAGUCUAAGAUAUGUGGGACAUCAUUCUCUCUUGUGACAAUAUUUAUCUGCCAUUAGCUUGGUAGGCCUUUUGUGUUAGUUUGACAGUAGUACAUAUGGACAUGGCUAAAUCAUGCAAGUUUUCUACCAGAUUAUCUGUGGCCAAAGUAGCCAAUCUGCACUGCAAGAUGAUGGACAAGAAUUAGGAAUUCACCUAUGGUUGGGAAACUACACUUGAUAACCACAGAAAUUCAGAAGUUCCCCAGGCUUUUACCUGGCUUUCUGAGCACUUUUUUCAGCCAAAGGUAGAUACUGUGUGAUGACAACAAUAUGAUUCAUUUACGGGUAUUUAAAGUCUAUGUUGCCUCCCAGAUAAUUUUUAAAUAAUAAUAUCAGUGAAAAUAACAAGCUCAAAAUUUCAUGCUUCAUAUACUUUUCUGUAUAUUCCUUUUCAGCCUUGUUUUACAGAUAGAAUUCUGCAUAUUUGCAAUCUUAUUGUAUAUCUAAUUUUGAAUCCUAUUUUGUACUUAAUGUUUCCCAUUGUGCUGUGGUUUUUUUCAUUAUUGCCAUCUUAUUGGCACCCAAUAAGCAAUUGAAUUGAUAGUCAUAUGUUAUGAAACUAUUUUCUGAUGGUUGAGCUUAAACAUUUUUCCAUUAAUAAAUACUUACUGUGAAGCUGGGUUGGCCCUCAUACCAAAUCCUGCCAACUACCUAUUUUUGUAAAUAAAAUUUCACUGGAACAGAGUCACACACACUUGCUAGUAUCAUCUAUUGUUGUUUCUGCAUUAUAACAGCAGAGUUGAGUAGGUAUGACAGAAAGUCUAAAAUAUUUAUUAUCCAGCCCUUUAGAGAAAAAGUUUGCCAACGCUAAAUCGCUAUCUUAGUACCAAAUCGAUUCUGAAUAAUUUCAUUAAGAUAAAUCCCCAGGGUUGGGGUUAUUUGGCCCAAGUGUUUUGGAUUCAUACAGUCUCAAAGUGUAUUUCUGAAUUGCUUUCUGAAACUGUUAUAUUGAUUUAAAAUCUUACCAACAUAAUAAGUGUGCUGCUUUCAAUCAACUUUAUCACAACUGGGGUUUGUCAUUUUAAGUUUUUCUUAAUUUAAUGUCCGUUAAUAGUGUACAUCAUUGGACUUUUUGUUUGCUUUUCUUCAGAAUGAAAAAUCUAUUUCUCUGAAUAUCAUUAGUUGUUUUUCUUUUGUGUGAAAUGUCUGUUCAUGUUUCUUAUAUGCUAAUCUAUUAGUCUUACUGCUGCACUCCUUAAUUUGUAUGAGCUUGCAGAUGAUUUUCUGACUUACAUUAAAAGCACCAGCAGUAAGAUAUGUUGGUCAAUGGCUUAGUGCACAAAGAUGCACAUAUAUCACGCAAGUAUUAUGUGAUUCAUUAAAGCAGAUAGAGAAGUCAGGCUUAUAAUAAUUAUGAAUGCCACCUUUUAAAGCGAGAAUAACCAUGUUGCCGAUGUAAAUAAUACCAGUAACUCUUUUAUUACUCUCUAAAUCUGUAAGCUGAACUCCUGCAAGGAAAAUAUGUCUUCUUUAUGUAAUGAAAAUAUUUGCUUAUGUAGUAUUAAAUUUCUCAUUUGUAUAUGACUCAUGUAAGUAGACAACCAACUCAGCUCUGGUCUUAAAUAAAAGAACUUUGUUACAGUAAUCUUUUUUCUCAAGAUAAAAAAUGUUGACGAACUUGAGUCUCUCCUACUCUGGUUGCAAAAUUAAAA